rnacentral:rRNA from 1 species
AUUGAACGCUGGCGGCAGGCCUAACACAUGCAAGUCGAGCGAGCGGCGGACGGGUGAGUAAUGGCUGGGAAACGGCCUGAUGGAGGGGGAUAACUACUGGAAACGGUAGCCAAUACCGCAUACCAUCAGAUGUGCCCAGAUGGGAUUAGCUAGUAGGUGGGGAAACGGCUCACCUAGGCGACGAUCCCUAGCUGGUCUGAGAGGUUGACCGGCCAAACUGGAACGGGGACCCGGUCCGGAUGCCUACGGAGGGCAGCGGAGGGGAAUAUUGCACAAUGGGCGCAAGCCUAAUGCAGCCAUGCCGCGUGUAUGAAGAAGGCCUUCGGGUUGUAAAGUACUUUCAGCGGGGAGGCGGUACCCGCAGAAGAAGCACCGGCUAACUCCGUGCCAGCAGCCGCGGUAAUUC